GAUGAACGCUGGCGGCGUGCCUAAUACAUGCAAGUCGAGCGAAUGGAUUAAGAGCUUGCUCUUAUGAAGUUAGCGGCGGACGGGUGAGUAACACGUGGGUAACCUGCCCAUAAGACUGGGAUAACUCCGGGAAACCGGUGCUAAUACCGGAUAACAUUUUGAACCGCCUGGUUCGAAAUUGAAAGGCGGCUUCGGCUGUCACUUAUGGAUGGGCCCGCGUCGCAUUAGCUAGUUGGUGAGGUAACGGCUCACCAAGGCAACGAUGCGUAGCCGACCUGAGAGGGUGAUCGGCCACACUGGGACUGAGACACGGCCCAGACUCCUACGGGAGGCAGCAGUAGGGAAUCUUCCGCGAUGGACGAAAGUCUGACGGAGCAACGCCGCGUGAGUGAUGAAGGCUUUCGGGUCGUAAAACUCUGUUGUUAGGGAAGAACAAGUGCUAGUUGAAUAAGCUGGCACCUUGACGGUACCUAACCGGAAAGCCACGGCUAACUACGUGCCAGCAGCCGCAGUAA
rnacentral:rRNA from 1 species